rnacentral:rRNA from 1 species
UCUCGGCAACGGAUAUCUUGGCUCUCACAUCGAUGAAGAACGUAGCGAAAUGCGAUACCUGGUGUGAAUUGCAGAAUCCCGUGAACCAUCGAGUCUUUGAAUGCAAGUUGCGUCCGAGGCCAUCCAGCCAAGGGCACGCCUGCCUAGGCAUCACG